CUUUUACUCCGAGCUCAGCCCGGUUCUCAUUAGAAUCACUGCGUUCUUUCGCCCCUGCUUGAGAGGAGCAGCUUUUCCUCCGUAAAGGGUUCUGCAUUUUUCUCUUGGAAAAAGUCGCCAUUUUUUUGCGAGGCGGAAAGUUUCUGCCGACUUUCCGCCGCGCGCAGUCUGCAGCUUUUGUCGGUGCAACGACCGCGAGCAUCUGGUGUUGGAGCGUGGGGUCGGUGUUUAGGGUGUGGUAGGAGGAAAGCGCCCGGUCCUCGGCUUCGCGCCGACAUCAGUUUUACUGUCCGGGCAGUCACGCUUACUGGCCCGAACUGGGUUUGACAGCACCAAAGGAGGGCAUUCGGCUCAUUGUGUCCACGGCAGCCAAAGACAGAGCUAUUUAAGUUACUUGUGCUUCCCAUCUCUUAGUCCAGCGUUUUAUAUUUCAUGGCUCUUCAAGUAUUCAUGCAGGUAGCAAUGUAGUUAUCUGUUUCUGGCAUCAGAAUCACAAUAGUUUACUGCAUGGAAGGAGUGCACUUGGCCCAUCAAGUCUGUUCCAGUUCAAUAUUGGAGCUUGAUCGUCCAUAAGCGGAGUUUUAAAGAACUGACUGAAGGAUGCAUCCUUUCUGCGGCACUAAAAUGAACACCUCCAGAAAAGAUACCAAUCAAUUGAUGUAAGCAACACACAGGGAAGGAAUAAAAUAAGAAGGUUAUACAACUCAAAAGAAUCUAUCAGAAUAGCUUUACUAGCUGCAUUCUUCAGGCAAUGUUCCACAAAAGAAGCUUACAGCUUCACGUUUUGUUCUACAGAGUGAAUCAUGCCAAGGAAAGGAUUCCCUGUCCCUAUUUGGCUUGCAUUUGAAGUGCGGCAAGUAUCCAGAUUUUGGCAGUAAACAUUCAGCGUCAUGUUACGAUUUUUCCAUUUCUAAUAAAAACAACAGUUGAUGGGGGAGGGGUGAAAGAGGGUGGAAUUAUGCCUAAUCAACUGUUUUUCACAACUUGAUAUGCUCUUGCACCUAAAACAAGUUCUUGAGGAACUGUGGAAAAUCUCAGCCUAAUGGCACAGUGAAGUACCCAGUAAACAACUGAACUGCUGUAAUGAGGAAAGUUAGCAGAUUCCAGCACACUUCUGAUGUACUCUUUUCAUUUACCUCUGUCAAGAUGGUAGAGUGAAUGAGCAGGGAAGGUUACUACUGCUGAUCAGUGAGUCCUGCAUUAAAAGUACAUGUGUGGGUAACUUGAAGGUAGGGUUUGUCUUGGUUACAAUACUGCCUACAGUUGAACAGACUAUUGCUGUGUUUCUCAAGCACUUUGGCAAAAUACCAAAGGGUGAUUAUCCAUUCAUGAACUUGUAAUAUCAAGUAUUUGGAGCCUUCAGUAAAGGGAGAAAAAUAAUGUUGAGUGGGAAGAACAUUUUAUUUUUGGCUGAUAUAUAAUAUUUUUAAAUUAUAAUAUGCUUUUGUAAUGCAGCUCUAGAGUCUUGAUAGCAGUGAACUGUUAUUUUAAUAAGGAAAAUGGGAUAUCCCUCAGGCUCCAAGAUAAUUUCAAUAUGUAGUGUUUAAAAUAGUUCAUUAACUUUCUAUUACAGAAAAGAACUACAGUAUGAUAAUGUGGAUAAUAUGGUGAGCUCCUGGGUAGAGGUAGUAGGUUGCAUAGUUUGAGGACAGAGAUUUUGGCCCAAAGGAGAUAACUAUACAACUUGCUGCCUUUCCUAGGGCAUCAUGCAAACUACCAUAAAAGAACAUCUUAGUCGUUCUACAGAUCUGAUGGAUGAAUGUGUAUUUACUCUAUAGAGGUGAUGUAUAAUGGAUCAGAAUCUAUACUAUGUGAAUUUCUGAAUAUAUUUAACCAAAACUGCAUUUAUAAUCGCAUUCUGAUUUUGCUAACUUCACCAAUUUAUCUACAGUUGACUAUUGAUAGGAAGAAAAUUGUAUUAACUUUUGAAUUUUUUUGCUGUUGUGUGGAUUUUAUUUCAAUAAAAUUUUUUUUUACAAAAUUACAGUUUUUUUGUGAUUUGUAAAGAAUAGUAUUUACAACCAUAGCAAAUUUUCAGUUGAAUUGGGUUACAUAACUUCAUUUUAUGAUUAUUGUGAGGAGGGUUAUUGGGGGGAAAAAAAAGUAGCUGGAGCACCUUCGCUGCUUGAGUUCUAAUGAACAAUUUCAGAAAUUGUCUUCAGCUCUGUAAGUUUGGAAUAAAUGGAAUGAGGAUGUAGUUAAGAUAAGACCUAGGUUUUGCUGAAAUGGUGUAUGAAUAGACAUUCAUUAUUACUAAACGCCAUCUCAUUUUUAAUCUUUUUUCCUAUCUGGAAUCCUCAUUUAUUGUGUAUGAAUGAGAAGUUGCAUUUCUCCUGUAAUUCUUUUGUAUUCCACCACUAAAACACCUGAUUUGCCAAAUGUUUGCCCAGUCACUUACCCUUUCCCUAUCCCUGAAUGAAUUAAAAUACUUGUUAAAAUCUUGCAAAUCAAGUAUAAAUGUCCACUUCGAAAGGAAAUUUUAAAAGUAUCUAAAUUAUGCAAGAUCGCAGUCUAUAAGAUGUACAUACAGGGAGGUCUGCAUGAUUUACAAAAUGCUAAAAUGCAUAUUAUUAGGAAAGUUAUUUAUCGCUAGCAGGAC